rnacentral:rRNA from 1 species
UACAGAGGGCAGCUACCCAGCAAUGGGAUGCGAAUCUCGAAAGCCUGUCUCAGUUCGGAUUGGAGGCUGAAACCCGCCUCCAUGAAGUUGGAUUCGCUAGUAAUCGCGCAUCAGCCAUGGCGCGGUGAAUACGUUCCCGGGCCUUGUACACACCGCCCGUCAAGCCAUGGGAGCCGGGGGUGCCUGAAGUUGCCUAAGAAAUAAGGUACCUAAGGCGAAACCAAUGACUGGGGUGAAGUCGUAACAAGGUAAC